AUUGAACGCUGGCGGCAGGCCUAACACAUGCAAGUCGAGCGGUAGAGAGAAGCUUGCUUCUCUUGAGAGCGGCGGACGGGUGAGUAAUGCCUAGGAAUCUGCCUGGUAGUGGGGGAUAACGUUCGGAAACGGACGCUAAUACCGCAUACGUCCUACGGGAGAAAGCAGGGGACCUUCGGGCCUUGCGCUAUCAGAUGAGCCUAGGUCGGAUUAGCUAGUUGGUGAGGUAAUGGCUCACCAAGGCGACGAUCCGUAACUGGUCUGAGAGGAUGAUCAGUCACACUGGAACUGAGACACGGUCCAGACUCCUACGGGAGGCAGCAGUGGGGAAUAUUGGACAAUGGGCGAAAGCCUGAUCCAGCCAUGCCGCGUGUGUGAAGAAGGUCUUCGGAUUGUAAAGCACUUUAAGUUGGGAGAAGGGCAGUUACCUAAUACGUGAUUGUUUGACGUUACCGACAGAAUAAGCACCGGCUAACUCUGUGCCAGCAGCCG
rnacentral:rRNA from 1 species